rnacentral:rRNA from 1 species
GGGCCCGCACAAGCGGUGGAGCAUGUGGUUUAAUUCGAUGAUACGCGAGGAACCUUACCAGGGCUUAAAUGCAGUUUGACAGGUCCCGAAAGGGAUUUUUCUUCGGACAGAUUGCAAGGUGCUGCAUGGUUGUCGUCAGCUCGUGCCGUGAGGUGUUAGGUUAAGUCCUGCAACGAGCGCAACCCCUAUUCUUAGUUGCCAGCGGUUCGGCCGGGGACUCUAAGAAGACUGCCAGCGCAAGCUGUGAGGAAGGUGGGGAUGACGUCAAAUCAUCACGGCCCUUACGUCCUGGGCUACACACGUGCUACAAUGGUGUUGACAGAGGGCAGCCACAUGGCGACAUGGAGCUAAUCCUUAAACAACAUCUCAGUUCGGAUCGGAGUCUGCAACUCGACUCCGUG